rnacentral:rRNA from 1 species
UACGGAGGGGGCUAGCGUUGUUCGGAAUUACUGGGCGUAAAGCGCACGUAGGCGGCUUUGUAAGUUAGAGGUGAAAGCCCAGGGCUUAACCCUGGAAUUGCCUUUAAGACUGCAUCGCUAGAAUCGUGGAGAGGUGAGUGGAAUUCCGAGUGUAGAGGUGAAAUUCGUAGAUAUUCGGAAGAACACCAGUGGCGAAGGCGACUCACUGGACACGUAUUGACGCUGAGACGCGAAAGCGUGGGGAGCGAACAGG